rnacentral:rRNA from 1 species
CCUACGGGGGGCAGCAGUGGGGAAUAUUGGACAAUGGGGGCAACCCUGAUCCAGCCAUGCCGCGUGUGUGAAGAAGGCCCUCGGGUUGUAAAGCACUUUCAGUGAGGAAGAACGCCUGGUGGUUAAUACCCAUCAGGAAAGACAUCACUCACAGAAGAAGCACCGGCUAACUCCGUGCCAGCAGCCGCGGUAAUACGGAGGGUGCGAGCGUUAAUCGGAAUUACUGGGCGUAAAGCGCGCGUAGGUGGCUUGAUAAGCCGGUUGUGAAAGCCCCGGGCUCAACCUGGGAACGGCAUCCGGAACUGUCAAGCUAGAGUGCAGGAGAGGAAGGUAGAAUUCCCGGUGUCGCGGUGAAAUGCGUAGAGAUCGGGAGGAAUACCAGUGGCGAAGGCGGCCUUCUGGACUGACACUGACACUGAGGUGCGAAAGCGUGGGUAGCAAACAGGAUUAGAUACCCCAGUAGUC